GAUGAACGCUGGCGGCGUGCCUAAUACAUGCAAGUCGAGCGAACAGAUCAGGAUCUUGCUCCUCUCACGUUAGCGGAGGACGGGUGUGUAACACGUGUAUAACCUACCUAUAAGACUGGUAUAACUUCGGGAAACCGGAGCUAAUACCAGAGAAUCUCUUGAACCGCAUGGUUCAAUGGUGAAAGUCGGUUGUUCUGUCACUUCUAGAUGGAUCCGCGCCGCAUUAGCUAGUCGGUAAGGUAACGGCCUACCAAGGCAACGAUGCGUAGCCGACCUGAGAGGGUGAUCGCCCGCACGGGAGCUGAGCCGCGGUCCAGAGUCCUGCGGGAGGCAGCAGUAGGGAAUCUUCGGCAAUGGGCGAAAGCCUGACGGAGCAGCGCCGCGUGAGUGAUGGAGGUGUUCGGAUCGUAAUGCUCUGUUAUUAGGUAAGAACAAAUGUGUAAGUAACUGUGCACGUAUUGACGGUACCGAAUAAGAAAGCCACGGCUAACUACGUG
rnacentral:rRNA from 1 species